GACGAACGCUGGCGGCGUGCUUAACACAUGCAAGUCGAACGGAAAGGCCCUGCUUUGGUGGGGUGCUCGAGUGGCGAACGGGUGAGUAACACGUGAGUAGCCUGCCCUUGACUUUGGGAUAACUUCAGGAAACUGGGGCUAAUACCGGAUAGGAGCUCCUGCUGCAUGGUGGGGGUUGGAAAGUUUCGGCGGUUGGGGAUGGACUCGCGGCUUAUCAGCUUGUUGGUGGGGUAGUGGCUUACCAAGGCUUUGACGGGUAGCCGGCCUGAGAGGGUGACCGGCCACAUUGGGACUGAGAUACGGCCCAGACUCCUACGGGAGGCAGCAGUGGGGAAUAUUGCACAAUGGGCGGAAGCCUGAUGCAGCAACGCCGCGUGCGGGAUGACGGCCUUCGGGUUGUAAACCGCUUUCGCCUGUGACGAAGCGUGAGUGACGGUAAUGGGUAAAGAAGCACCGGCUAACUACGUG
rnacentral:rRNA from 1 species